rnacentral:rRNA from 1 species
AUUGAACGCUGGCGGCAGGCCUAACACAUGCAAGUCGAGCGGAUGAGGGAAGCUUGCUUCCCGAUUUAGCGGCGGACGGGUGAGUAAUGCCUAGGAAUCUGCCUAUUAGUGGGGGAUAACGUUCCGAAAGGAACGCUAAUACCGCAUACGUCCUACGGGAGAAAGUGGGGGAUCUUCGGACCUCACGCUAAUAGGUGAGCCUAGGUCGGAUUAGCUAGUUGGUGAGGUAACGGCUCACCAAGGCGACGAUCCGUAGCUGGUCUGAGAGGAUGAUCAGCCACACUGGAACUGAGACACGGUCCAGACUCCUACGGGAGGCAGCAGUGGGGAAUAUUGGACAAUGGGCGAAAGCCUGAUCCAGCCAUGCCGCGUGUGUGAAGAAGGUCUUCGGAUUGUAAAGCACUUUAAGUUGGGAGGAAGAGUUGUAAGCUAAUAUCUUGCAGCUUUGACGUUACCAACAGAAUAAGCACCGGCUAACUCUGUGCCAGCAGCCGCGGUAAGAC